GAAGGGGACUCUGGCCUGCAGAGGGGGGGCUCCUUGAGGGCCCCUUCCCUCACCAGCCGCUCAGAUCGUCUGCAGCAGCGCCUGCGUAUCACCCAGCACUUUGGACAGAACCGGCCCCUUCGCCCUAGGAGUCGCCCCAGCAGGAGACUCAGGCUGGAAGAGAAGCCCUCUGAGUCCCUGGAAGAGAGGACACCCUCCCUGAGCCCAGAGGAUGCUCAGGACCCGUGGGCAGAGGAAGCGCUGGACGGCAGCUUCCUGGGGUCUGGAGAAGAACUGGAUUUGCUAAGUGAGAUAUUGGAUAGCCUGAGCACAAGAGCCACGCGGACUGGUAGCCUUCGGCCCAGCCAGAGUUUAGACUGCUGCCACAGAGAGGACUUGGACAGCUGCCUCAGCCUGGUGAAAGCCCCACUCCCCGGCCCCCCAGUCCCUCCCCAUUUGCCCAUCCAACCUGCCAGCACCUGCUUCAUCCAAAGGCCAGCAAUCUGCCAUCUCCCACCCCCACCCAGCCUGACAUACCCGGCUUCCCCCCACUGUCCCCUGGCAUUGGCCACUGACUUUACCUUGUACAUGAGAAGACUCUGCACACCCUUCAAGCCGCUCUUUGCCUAUGGAGGAACCGAAAGAGUGAUUUGACAAGGGUAUUUGAGAACCAGGCCCUCAACCCCCGAGGACAGAUUCAUCUUGCCAUCUGCUCAUGGGUGACUCAAAAUACAUUCAGAAUCCCCCUGUACUAAGGAGCUAAGGAGUCAAUACAAACAUGCCUCUUUGACUAAUAUAAAAGGAAUAUUCCUCGAGGAGAUAACCCCCAAAUGAAACUGGGAGUGGCAAAGCUGGAAUGCUGUAAAAAAUCAGUGUUCAAAAGCAGAGCAAAGAAUAAAAAUUCAACAGACAGUUCCGAGCUGCGGGAGCCGGUCCCAGGAAACUUUUGGAUUUGGGAGAAAAACAAAACACUAAGCAUGCAAGCAGGAAUGUUAGUGUCUCAGAAGGAAUACCCCGAGACGUUUGCCAAAGAAUCCUGGUGAUCAUUUUUAAAUAGGAAAGACGUGAUCUGACAAACGGGAAAGAACACAGUCAAUGGAACAUAAAAGUAGGAAACAUUGCAACUGGUUUAACUGCUGGUUCAGUUUGAUAAACUGUCCUCUAAACAGAAGGUUAAAACAUCCUCUGGCUUGGUCACCCUGGUAACUGGUCUGUCCACCCCAGCCUCACCGAGCGGUACAUGUUCCUGACAGCUGGUUGGGUCUUGGCCUUGACGGAGUGCAGAAGGGCACCACCACCUUUCUGUGGAGAGAGAGCCAAGGCAGAGAGGCAUAGGCAUAUCCCAGACCCCACCUGCCCAACUGGGUUGUGUGUCGCUGGAAAAACCCUUCUCCCUCUCUGAAUUUUCUUUUUUUUUAAAUUAAAAAACUGAGUUAUAAUUUUAAAAAAAAAUAAAAUAAAAAAUAAUAAUGCAUAUAAAGUUUAUAGGUAGGACAGUCGCUGGCUUAUUUUUUUCUUAUAGGUACCAAUACCUGAGAAGGUAUUGCAUUCUUUUCAUAUGAACUAGUGUUAGUUUUCAGUAGGAAAACAUUCACAGUUUUUAUUUUUAGAAUUUAUAGAACUCUAAAAUUUGUUGUUAAUUUCCCCUUGAGCUAUGGAAAUGGAAAGGAGAGGUGGUGUUCAAGGGCAAGGGAGUGUGAGAUCUAAAGCAUACUGGGCAUUACAUUGAAUAUUUGCAUCCAUUAUUUCAUUUAAUGGAUGAAAAGAGUAAAGAGUCUGCCGGCAAUGCAGACUCUGGGUUCGAUCCCUGGGUUGGGAAGAUUCCUGAAGAAGGAAGUGGCUACCCACUCCAGUAUUCUUGCCUGGAAAAUCCCAUGGACAGCGGAGCUUGGUGGGCUAUAUGGGGUCACAAAGAGCCUGGACCUGACUGAGCGACUUUCACUCACUUUGAUCUCAUUUAAUACUCAAAAUAAUCAUACAAGGUGCAUAUUGUUCUGUCUGUGGAACAAAAAAAACAUAAAACUUGGGCCAACAAAAGCUAAAUAAAGAGCCAGGGUUUGAAGGCAAGUUCAUCUGGCUCGAAAACUCACGUUUUUCCCAUUCCUUGAGUUCUGAUUAGCUUAUACUUAAUAUCAUUUUUCCAAAGACAAGAGGCAUGUAGGAAGCAUCCUGUCAUCUUGUGCAAAGUCAUACAGUAUCCUGGAUUUUAACUGCCACUAAGAUUUAAUAACUGUGUGAAAAAGCAACCAGCAAGGUAUCCCCCUGUGUACCAUAAAUAGGCCACUCCAUGGUAAAUUACACACUCGUGACUUAUCCUAGAAGGAGCUCCACAUCACUGUUAGACACUGUUGCUGACCCAAACCAUGAGGCCUUGCACGUGUUCAGGAUCUGCUCUGCUAAGUGUGUAGCACACUCGGCAGAAACCAUGCUGUUCCCGUCCUUACUACUGACUUACUCAGACUCCCUGCACUCGUGCACAGAUGCAGUUUCUGUCUUUGCUCAUCCGUCACAGUGUCCAGGUGUUUGUUUGUUUGUUGAACCUGGAUGUUUAACCCCAUAAGACUUUUCCAAAGGGUCAAAAAGAUUCAUAAGGGGAUAAUACAUAAAACUCGUCACUUUACUACCACAGGUCUUAAAUUUUUCAUCCACAAACCUGAACGUAAAAUUUCAUUUUGGUGGAUAUGUUACAGUUUCUGCUACAUCAAUCUUUAUUACAGACAGCUUCUCCCAUAUAGGAUGCUGUAAGAGUUCUAGAGUAAAGUUUUAAUUUUAACAACACAAUUUCUGAUUUUGUUUCCCUAUGAAUGUGACUUGAAACUCAGCACAUUCUGAGAC
rnacentral:lncRNA from 1 species